GAGCGGGAAAAGCAGCUGGGCCUGACCGCAGAUCGAGGCCCCUGAGGCCUAUUGGGCGCGCAGCCUUCCGCGCUGGUUGUGGGUUCGGUUCCCGUCACCCGCUCUCCA
rnacentral:tRNA from 1 species